rnacentral:rRNA from 1 species
UAGGGAAUCUUCCACAAUGGACGCAAGUCUGAUGGAGCAACGCCGCGUGAGUGAAGAAGGUUUUCGGAUCGUAAAGCUCUGUUGUUGGUGAAGAAGGAUAGAGGUAGUAACUGGCCUUUAUUUGACGGUAAUCAACCAGAAAGUCACGGCUAACUACGUGCCAGCAGCCGCGGUAAUACGUAGGUGGCAAGCGUUGUCCGGAUUUAUUGGGCGUAAAGCGAGCGCAGGCGGAAGAAUAAGUCUGAUGUGAAAGCCCUCGGCUUAACCGAGGAACUGCAUCGGAAACUGUUUUUCUUGAGUGCAGAAGAGGAAAGUGGAAUUCCAUGUGUAGCGGUGGAAUGCGUAGAUAUAUGGAAGAACACCAGUGGCGAAGGCGACUCUCUGGUCUGCAACUGACGCUGAGGCUCGAAAGCAUGGGUAGCGAACAGG